GGGGCUGAUUCUGGAUUCGACGGGAUUUGCGAAACCCAAGGUGCAUGCCGAGGGGCGGUUGGCCUCGUAAAAAGCCGCAAAAAAAUAGUCGCAAACGACGAAAACUACGCUUUAGCAGCUUAAUAACCUGCUUAGAGCCCUCUAUCCCUAGCCUCCGCUCUUAGGACGGGGAUCAAGAGAGGUCAAACCCAAAAGAGAUCGCGCGGAUGCCCUGCCUGGGGUUGAAGCGUUAAAACGAAUCAGGCUAGUCUGGUAGUGGCGUGUCCGUCCGCAGGUGCCAGGCGAAUGUAAAGACUGACUAAGCAUGUAGUACCGAGGAUGUAGGAAUUUCGGACGCGGGUUCAACUCCCGCCAGCUCCACCA
rnacentral:tmRNA from 1 species